UGGGAUGUGGCUCAAGCAGUAGGGCGCUCACCUGGCAAGGGUGGGGUGCUGGGUUCAAUCCUCAGCACCACAU
rnacentral:tRNA from 1 species